rnacentral:rRNA from 1 species
UGGGGAAUAUUGGACAAUGGGGGAACCCUGAUCCAGCCAUGCCGCGUGUGUGAAGAAGGCCCUCGGGUUGUAAAGCACUUUCAGUGAGGAAGAACGCCUGGUGGUUAAUACCCAUCAGGAAAGACAUCACUCACAGAAGAAGCACCGGCUAACUCCGUGCCAGCAGCCGCGGUAAUACGGAGGGUGCGAGCGUUAAUCGGAAUUACUGGGCGUAAAGCGCGCGUAGGUGGCUUGAUAAGCCGGUUGUGAAAGCCCCGGGCUCAACCUGGGAACGGCAUCCGGAACUGUCAAGCUAGAGUGCAGGAGAGGAAGGUAGAAUUCCCGGUGUAGCGGUGAAAUGCGUAGAGAUCGGGAGGAAUACCAGUGGCGAAGGCGGCCUUCUGGACUGACACUGACACUGAGGUGCGAAAGCGUGGGUAGCAAACAGGAUUAGAUACCCUGGUAGUCCACGCCGUAAACGAUGUCGACCAGCCGUUGGGUGCCUAGCGCACUUUGUGGCGAAGUUAACGCGAUAAGUCGACCGCCUGGGGAGUACGGCCGCAAGGUUAAAAACUC